AUGCAAGUCGAGGGGUAACAGAGAAGCUUGCUUCUGCUGACGACCGGCGCACGGGUGCGUAACGCGUAUGCAACCUACCUCAUACUGGAGAAUAGCCCUUGGAAACGAGGAUUAAUACUCCAUGGUAUCAUUCUUUCGCAUGUUAGAAUGAUUAAAGAAUUUCGGUAUGAGAUGGGCAUGCGUCCCAUUAGCUUGUUGGUGAGGUAACGGCUCACCAAGGCAACGAUGGGUAGGGGGCCUGAGAGGGUGGUCCCCCACACUGGUACUGAGACACGGACCAGACUCCUACGGGAGGCAGCAGUGAGGAAUAUUGGUCAAUGGAGGCAACUCUGAACCAGCCAUGCCGCGUGAAGGAUGACGGCCCUAUGGGUUGUAAACUUCUUUUAUAUGGGAAGAAACUUAUCUACGUGUAGAUAACUGACGGUACCAUACGAAUAAGGAUCGGCUAACUCCGUGCCAGCAGCCGCGGUAAUACGGAGGAUCCAAGCGUUAUCCGGAUUCAUUGGGUUUAAAGGGUCCGUAGGCGGAUUUUUAAGUCAGUGGUGAAAGCCGACAGCUCAACUGUCGAACUGCCAUUGAUACUGGAAAUCUUGAGUACAAAUGAAGUAGGCGGAAUGAGUCAUGUAGCGGUGAAAUGCAUAGAUAUGACUCAGAACACCGAUUGCGAAGGCAGCUUACUAACAUGUAACUGACGCUGAGGGACGAAAGCGUGGGGAGCGAACAGGAUUAGAUACCCUGGUAGUCCACGCCGUAAACGAUCAUCACUCGCUGUUGGCGAUAUACUGUCAGCGGCCAAGCGAAAGUAUUAAGUGAUGCACCUGGGGAGUACGCCGGCAACGGUGAAACUCAAAGGAAUUGAC
rnacentral:rRNA from 1 species